UUCUAUCCGUAAGCGCUGUACAGCCUAGCCACGAUCGCGCUCGGUAUAACAGCUGAUUGUUUACUAGACCAUAGUUUCUUACUUGGAUAACUGUGGCAAUUCUAGAGCUAAUACAUGCACGAAAGCUCCGACCCUCGUGGAAAGAGCGCAUUUAUUAGACCAAAACCAAUCGAGUACUUCGGUGCUUGUGUUUUGGUGACUCUGAAUAACUUAGUUGAUCGCACAGUCAUAGUACUGGCGACGUAUCUUUCAAAUGUCUGCCUUAUCAACUUUCGAUGGUAGGUUAUACGCCUACCAUGGUUAUAACGGGUAACGGAGAAUUAGGGUUCGACUCCGGAGAGGGAGCCUGAGAAACGGCUACCACAUCCAAGGAAGGCAGCAGGCGCGCAAAUUACCCAAUCUCAGAACGAGGAGGUAGUGACGAAAAAUAACAAAACAGUCCACUCUGUGGUCUGUUAUCGGAAUGGGUACAAUUUAAAUCUUUUAACGAGGAUCUAUUAGAGGGCAAGUCUGGUGCCAGCAGCCGCGGUAAUUCCAGCUCUAAUAGCGUAUAUUAAAGUUGUUGUGGUUAAAACGCCCGUAGUUGGUUCUUCGGUCUUGAAGCUCGGUAGCUCAUAUGGGCUUAACUGAGUCUUCCGGCCUAUAUUUCUUGUUUUCUCCCGAUGCUCUUUAUUGAGUGUCUCGAGAUACUAGAACGUUUACUUUGAAAAAAUUAGAGUGCUAAAAGCAGGCUAUACGCUUGAAUAAAGUGCAUGGAAUAAUGGAAUAGGACUUUAGUUUUAUUUUGUUGGUUUUCGAAAUUAAAGUAAUGAUUAAGAGGAACAGACGGGGGCAUUCGUAUUGUUGCGUUAGAGGUGAAAUUCUUGGAUCGCAGCAAGACGAACAACUGCGAAAGUUGUCGCCACAAAGAUGAUAAA
rnacentral:rRNA from 1 species